rnacentral:lncRNA from 1 species
CCCUGUGAGAAGAAGAUCCUAAAUAGGAUCUCAAGUCUGCAGUGACUCAGCCUGUGGCCUCAGUUUCCUCAUCUGUAAAAUGGCUUCACAGAAGUUGAAUGUAUACCUUGGGAGUGAGAGGAGAGGGCAGGCAGGAAGCGCAAAUGGAAAUGGGCCUGGAAAGAGGGCAGCUUCAUCUUGGAGAACUCGGUGGCCAGUGGCCUUUCCCAGCCCAGCUGGCCUGGGGAGCUGGGCCCAGCUCUGCCGGCUCAGUCCUGCGUCAGUGGGGUGGGAAAUGGGGGGCUGGUGUUUGUGAGGCCGGGGUGUAGUGGACAAGCAGAUCCUUCAGUGGGACUCGUUAUUCCUUCUCGUUAUCAGUCAAUUCCACUUUACCAUGGAUGGGUUUGCAAGAGCCCUCCUUGCCUUUCUAAGGGGAUUGAAGUUUGGGUAAAGUGUCAAGGAGAAAGGAGGGUUAUUGGGGGCAUGGGGGUGACUGUAAGGAGGCUUACGUGGGGCGCCACAAGCCUGGGAAAUACAUGGCAGAUCACUGAGGAUCUAUGUUACCCUAGACACACUUCCGCAAGCACUAGGAAUCAAAUAGAAUAAUUCUCCACAUGGUGCUUGAAAACAUUUACUGUUUCACCUAUUUUCUGCAAAAGCACUGAGAGAUUUUUCAUGGUGGAUGUUAUUUCCCAUAUUGCAGAUGGGUAAAACUGAAGACCAGGGAAUGUAAUGGUGUGUAAGCUUGCUUUGUAGAUGCCCGCCAGUCCCUGGAAAAUGUUUCUUGGCCGAAUGGGCCAUAAAGCGAAAAGAACCCAGUGGCCGUUUGGCAGCUUUGUGCAGCAAGAAACCGGUCCUUCCAAGACUGGUUAGACCUGAACAGGGACGGGAGACAGGCUCAGCUCUAACUCAGCCACAGUGGGGGUAGCCUCAGAUGGAUAUGGGACAGGGGCUGGAUUCUGGGAGAUACGAGCUGGGCUGGAGCUGGAUGCUGUUAGAGCUGUCACCUGGACCAACUGUCCCCAUGCCCAGGAUGGCCUUGUGACAGUGUCCCCAGCAGUGCAACCUCAGGGAGUCACCAAGACUCGGGUCCAGGAGUUGGGAUCCAGUCUGCUUUCUCUGCUUGUUGGAUGCCUGGCCUCAGGCCAAGCCUCUGGGUGGGUCCCCAUCUGCACCAAGGCGGCCUCUUUGGGAGAGGGUUUGUGUCAGGAAGAUGAGACCAGAAGGGCCUCUUCUUACCACAAAGGUUGGGCUGCUAGAUGGUAGGGAAACACCCCAGAGCGUGCGGCGUGUUGGGAAGUAGAAUUGAAGUAUACCCUGCACAGGACCAGCUAUGUAACUUGUGGGAUCCCUCCAUGAAAAAGGAAAAUGUGGGGCCCCUUGUUCAAAAAAUGAUUAAGGAUUUCAACAUGGAGAUGGCAGACCAUUAAACAGAGUGGAGGGUCCUGAGUGUGACUGCACAGGUCACCCAUCUAUGAAGCCAGCCUUGAUCUUGGUCCAUGGCUGGAGGGGUGGGGCAGGCAGAGGGCUCUUAGGGGUCCCUGCUUUUCUCCUUGAAGGGCUUACAUUUAUCCUGCAGGUCCUCACUUGUCUGGGGUUCAGAAAUCCUUUCCCUGCGGACGUACCUCUCUGAGGGGGGUGCCUGGAGUGGGGGCAGAGAAGCAGGGGGAGGGGGCUGCUUUUCACUGAGCAGAUGCAGAGGGAAGCCUCCCCACCUCCCACUCAGCCCUGCUCCCUCCUCACCCCAAAGGCAGCACAAGGUAAUAGUUUUGGACACAUUUCAUUGAAAUAUAAUAAAAUAUUUGCAUGGCGUUAUUAGAUAAAUAAGGGUUGACUCGAGACAGUACUUAUUGGGAAAUGUGAUAUGAAAAUUCAUUUAAUAUGAAAGAACGUGGAAGCUUAAGUUUAUGGUAAUGGAUUGAUUGCAGAUAGUAUCUAAUAACUCCAUACAAAUAUAUUUCAAUCACAAUACCCGCUGGGGUGGUCCUCGGCUCCUGAGGCUGCGGGGCGAUUGUAUGCUCGACCUCCUCUCUUCUGGGCCAGAUUAGAAUUAAUUAAUUGUUAAUAUUGUGACAUUACUUUUGCAAUUAAGAAGCCCCAUAAUUUUCAGCGGCGGUGAGAAUGUGAAGUGUUUAUUAUUGUCUCAGAUGAGGCUGGGGAAGGUAGAGGAGCUGAAAAAUAAUAGAGAAAUCUAGAGAGGGAGAAUGUCUGAUUUCAUUCUCUGUAUCUUGAGGUUUUCUGUCUUGCCUGCAGAGUGGGGAGCUCCAGACAAGAGCAGGGUCUCAGGGGCACAUGGGGGCAGAGGUGCUGGCACCUGCACAGAAGGUCAAGGGCCAUGUCUAUCUUAGACUCGCUGAUCCCAGGGGGCAGGGCCCAGGGAGCCAGCCGUGUGAGGGGGUUCCAGCGUGGAGCUGUGGCUGAGACUGGGGCAGGAAAGCAGGGACCAAAGGUGGGUCACGGUUGAUGAGUCCAUGACACGCCCCUUCCUCCGUUGAUAAACUGUGAAAUCCAUUUGUCCUUGGCCAGGAUGAACUCAGUGAGGCGAUGGCUGUCAUUUCUGGGCAGAGUGGCUGGAGGAGGGGGAGGGAGGCUCCUUUCUAAGGCCCGUAUUCUGGCCUGUCUCCCACUCCACAACCCUGGGAGUUUGCUUGUCUUUCUGCCUUUUUCUUUCCUGGGGAGCAAAUGGAAAUAAUUUCCUUUGAAACGUGACAUUUCCUAAUCCGGCGCCCGGCCUGGCUGACAGCAGGAUUAGUGUGCUCAGGCUGCCAGGCCUGGCUGGCCAUAUGCACACGCCUUUCUCCCCAGGGGCCGCAGUGGCCAGCGCCAGCCCCCUCGCUGGCUCUUCUCCCACCCAGUCUGGUCUCAGCUGCCUCCUCCCCUGCACAUCAGAAACUGGUGCCCUCGAAGCUUAUUCAAGCUCUGCCUGAUUGUGUGUGUGUGUGUGUGUGUGUGUGUGUGUUGAGGGUGCGGUACGGGGAGGUCCCCCAUCAGAAGCUGUUAGUCUUGUCACCUGAAAGGAAGGAGAGGCUUCCUGGAGAAGGGGGUUUGGGUCCAGGCUCUGCAUGACCCGCUCUGUGACCUCGGGCUGUUCAGUCCCCUCUCUGGGCUGUCUUUGAAAUGAGAGUCUGAUGGAGUAUUGCCUUUGAUUGUUUCUACCCAUUCCACUUCCAACAGUCUCUGUCCUCUAGUCUUUGUCAAAACUCUGUGGUUGACAAGGGCCAACAAAAUAAAAGCAGUAGUAAUUCCACGUGAGGCAUCACCAAGGGCAGGAGCUGGCUCUGCUCUCACCUCUCUGCUCCUGUCUCCUAAGCUGCCAGGGACUAUGGCUUUGCACAUGCAGUCUCUCCAUCAGGGUGCCUGGCCGCAGCCUCUCAACCUCUCUUCCCUCCGGGAGCCGUGCGCACUAGGACAUAGGAUGUCAAACUUCAUGACGACCUGACGAGCGGACAGCCUUCCUCUGCUUCAAGAUGAAGAACUGGAGGAUCAGAGAGGCUAAGAGACUUGCUCAAGUGAUUAAUUCAAGCAAAUUUGAAUCCAGAGGGCCCAACUCCAAAUCCCUGCCCCCCCUCAGCUUGCCUGUCAUGUGUCACAUGUCACAUAUGAGCUAGUUUCCCUACCUUAUACCCCUUGCCAAGUUCGUGAAUGAAGAGUUGGGUGACUUUGGCUGAGCGUGUAGUUUUUAUCUCGUAUGCAGUAGGGGUUGAGGCACUAUCUGGGGCGGGGGUGUCUAGCCCCUCCACUCUACAUUCUGGACCAGGUAUUGUGACCUCCGAUUGUGACACCUUUGGUUCAGCUCCAUCCCGAGAUGCACUCUCCCACCGCCAUUGCCUUCGGGUUCCAGUCUCCUCCAGACAUCGUUUCCAAGACUGGGUGUUAUCUAGUUUUCUAAUCCCUAGAGCACAGGCCGGGAGGUGGGGCCCACCAGCCAGAGUGAGGGGUGGUCCACUGGGAACGCCCAUCCCCUCUCCCGCUGCGGAUGUUUACCUGACCUGCUUCUUUUGAGCCCAGGGGGCCUUGUCCGGCUCUCCACUAGGGUCUCCUUCUCACUUUAUCAUCCUGCUUGUCCUUCCUUCGCUGUGUCUUCGGUGUCUCUUUCUUGGUGUCUCUCCCCCUCCCAUUCCUCUCUCCCCGGCUUGCCCUCCCCAUCGAUUUCCAGACCUCUGCAUUAGCAUUCACAACCUCCGGCACCAGCCACUUAGGCCAGAAAGACAGCUCCUUGGAAACACAAUUGAAAUAUUUUUAUAAAUGACCAGCGGAGUUUGAGUGACAUGCCCUUCUUAGGCUAAAUAAAAUUAAAGUUAAACCUUCUAAAAAAUACAUGAGCCAAACAUCCUCUGCACAUUUCAUUAUGCAAAUGCAGCUGUCCAGCGUUGCACAAAUUAGCCCUCCUUUUGAAAUUCGCUGCUGCCUCUUCCCUUCCCUUUGCUUUCCUCUCUUUUUCUUCCUCUGGGUUUUGAGUGAAAAGGCUUUGUGAUUUUAGGCCGACAGCUGGAGUCUGGGGGAGAGGCAGGAGGCUGGAGCGUGGGAUGGCCAGCCUACUCCUGGUUUCCUCUCUGUCCUCUUUGUCCCCUCUUUCCCCUUUUCUGGGGGCUAAGGUGGUGAGAAAACAAUGAGGGCUUGAUGACUCCUCAGCCUCUCUUUCAAACUGUUUUGCAGGGUCCGGCCAGGAGAGGUCAGUCUGGGGUUGGGAAUGGGGCUCCCCGGAGUCGGGGCGCUCAGCAGUCUCUUAGUCUGGGGGCUGUGGAAGCCUGCAGCUCAAAGGAGGGACUGACUGGUGGACGACAGACACUCUCCCUCACCAGGUCCAGGAACUCCUUCCCCAGGGCCUCGGCAUAAUAAAGUGUGUCUUUUCUCAUCUCCUGAAUCCCGGAUGAAAACUGGAAAAUCUGAGCAGUGUUCAAGAUGUGGCAUCUCCUCUGUGUCCAGCCCCCAGUGGUUCAUGCAGGUGGAGAGGGUCACACUGAAUUGGAGACUGAAGUGGGUAGACUGGCCUCCCAAGGCCCGCUGACCAGGUGGGUAGGGAAGACUGCAGUCCUCAUCCUCUUCCCUGGACAGGUACUGUUGCACCAUUAGAAUAACUUAUUUGGAGUUCCCGUCGUGGCGCAUGGUUAACGGAUCUGACUAGGAACCAUGAGGUUGCAGGUUCGGUCCCUGCCCUUGCUCGGUGGGUUAACGAUCCAGCGUUGCCGUGAGCUGUGGUGUAGGUUGCAGACGCGGCUCGGAUCCCGCGUUGCUGUGGCUCUGGUGUAGGCUGGUGGCUCCAGCUCCGAUUCAACCCCUAGCCUGGGAACCUCCAUAUACAGCGGGAGCGGCCCAAGAAAUAGCAA